rnacentral:misc_RNA from 1 species
UGAUUUCAAUCCCUUGACUGGCAUCAGAAGUUGAUAAAUUCCCAUGACAAGCUACAGCAGGAGUGCAUUCCUCUGAAACAAACUGGACUCUAGUUUCUUUCUCAUUAUUUUCUGGCAAACUACACUCUGGUUCAUCACUGCAAUCACCAGAAGAGAGUUCUCGAGGGCAAUUUUCUAGGAGCUCAGAAAUUAGUCUCUGGAUAAGAGUACGCUUCAGAGAUGCCUCAGCAGGGGGAAACCAAUCCACAUUAAGAAACUUGGAGAACUCGUUUAUUUUGAAUGGGGUGAAAUUCACAGGAGCCUCCGCCAAAAAUAACUCCAGGUAGUGGAGCAGGAACAGGCCGCAAUCAAAUGAAUUUUCCUGCUGUGGCAA